UCUUUUUAAUUACUGGAUUUCCAAUUUUACCCUUCCCUUCUAUAAAUACCCCCCCUUUUCCCUUCUCCCCUCAGCAAGAACCGGAAUAGGAAACUAGCGAGUCCUCAUCGGGUAAACGAAGAAUCGGGAGAAGCAUCUGAAACUGUACGAGAGUUGAAAAAUGAGUUACCUGAAUCGGUUGUGUAUGGCGACGAGUGUAGCAGUGGUGCAAGGCCACACGGACCAGGGGAUUCAAUGGAAAUCCUUGGCGAACUCUCUGAACCGCUCGAAUAGAGGACUUCUGUCGGGUAUCCGGCCGCUAUCCGGUUCAGAUGUUACGGGAUUCGUUGGGAAUCACGAUGCCGGGGAAGAGAGGAGGAGGCAGAUCGCCGGCGACGAGUCUCUCCGGCAAGUGAUGUACUUCAACUGCUGGGGCCAGGGUUAAGAAGGAGAGAGAGGUGGAGAAGAGACCGGAAGUUUUGACACGGAGGCGUCACCGACCGAUGAGAAGGGAACGGAGGAAGUGUAAAAUUAGAGGAAGAGAAGAGAGGAUUGUGAAUAACUGUACAUAAAAAGAACGAACAAGGGACUCUUUACCUUCUACUUGUGAAUUGCUGAUUGUGAAAUCGAUUAACAUAAAUGAAUUUGAGGAAUUUCGUGUUGUUUUACUCUCUUCUGUUUACAGUGUUUUAAUCUAGUGAAGUAGACGAUGUUGAAUUUGAUGAAAUGCUCGGUUGUAGCAGAUCAGCCAUGGAUGAUUUUCUCUAUCUGCUUCCAGAGAACUCUACAUGAAUCUGAGAAAAGAUAAAAUAAUCAGAUCUAGGAAUAAAUAUCUUUAAAGUAAUAUGAACCAGAGAGUCUUUGCCUUGACUAAAGUGCGUCUUAGAAAGCAAUAAUUAUUGAAUAUUUUUUUAAAGAAAAAUUACCAGUACAUUCUAGAGCUCUAAGCCACUAGAUAUUAAAAUAACACUUCCACUUGCUGGAUAAACUAUUAAUAUACUUCUGCAACUAUAUAUUUACUAUAUUAUAUUUCAGUCCAUAACUCUUUUUUUUUUUUUGUUCUUCCAGAAUUUGAUUCAUGAACUUGCGAAAUUGAUGUGAAAAUUUUUAUAUAUUUUAAAUCUAUUUUUAUAUAAUAUAAUUUUUUAAUUAAUAAUUGUUUAAUUUUAAAUUCAUAAGCUAAUCCAAGUACUAAUAAAUACAUUUUUCUUGGUAAAA
rnacentral:lncRNA from 1 species